AUUGAACGCUGGCGGCAGGCCUAACACAUGCAAGUCGAACGAGUGGCGGACGGGUGAGUAAUGUCUGGGAAACUGCCCGAUGGAGGGGGAUAACUACUGGAAACGGUAGCUAAUACCGCAUACCAUCGGAUGUGCCCAGAUGGGAUUAGCUAGUAGGUGGGGUAAUGGCUCACCUAGGCGACGAUCCCUAGCUGGUCUGAGAGGAUGACCGGCCAAAUUGGACUGGGGACACGGGCCAGACUCCUACGGGAGGAAGCAGUGGGGAAUAUUGCACAAUGGGCGCAAGCCUGAGGCAGCCAUGCCGCGUGUAUGAAGAAGGCCUUCGGGUUGUAAAGUACUUUCAGCGGGGAGGCGUUACCCGCAGAAGAAGCAACGGCUAACUCCGUGCCAGCAGCCGCGGUAAUAC
rnacentral:rRNA from 1 species